GGUGUGAAAACAGUGGCUUCAAAAACAGGUUGUAGGACAUGUCCCUGUUUCAUAAGCUAUUUUUCAUUUUUAUAGACAGUCACCGUAUCUCCUUUCUCACCUUAAACUGACAGUGUUGCUAACACUGCCCUAUUCAGGCACUUAUUUAUUUGCUGCUGGUGUAGGUUUUUAAAACUGCAGAUGUGUUAGGCUUACAUCUGUUCCCAAGUCUGGGUCAUUUUGGCUAAAUGGGUUUGAAGAUGACAUGAGUAGUUCAGGCAGUAUUUCCAAGGGGAUGAGUCAAACAAACUAGGAGAAGAAUUGUAGCAUGUAACUGAGACCAGAUGGAUGUUAUAAUAUUCUGCUGCCACAAUUAUUUUAAACUCUAUCCACAGUUUAAAAUGCAGGUGAGGAAAGAGGAGUACACUUUCAGGGAAAGCUCCUGAAAAUUGUUUCUUCCAAGAAGUUGUGGCUCUACAACACACCAAAUUUGAUCCUGGGUAUUGUGGCUCAAAAUUCCACCUGGUUUUAUUUCCUUCCUAUAUGUCCUCUGUCAUGAGAAUGAGAAGCUGCACAUCCACCCCCAGACCAUAAUAUCUUAUUCCAGAACACACUCACUC